GUUUCCCUUUCCUGUACUGUUUGCCCCAGGCUACAAGGUCCCUCUGUUGUGCUGCUUUCUCACAGCAACACCUGCUGGCUGUGCAGGGCCCCUCUCUGGGUGGCUGCUAGUGACUCACAUCCUUUCCUCAGGCACAGCCCCUGUCCCUGCCACACAGCUGGGGGCUUUCUCUGGGGCAGAGGCAAGCAGGCACACUGAGAAGAAUGCUGCUGCUGCCAGUUCUGGCCCUGGCUGAAGCCUGCUUGCAUCCAUUCCCCUCCCUGUGGAGGAUCCACUGGGAACAGCAGUGGCAUGGGGCUGUUCCGCAUACAGCUGUGGGCAGCAGGCUGGCAGUGCUUGCUGUGUUUUCUCUUUUUCUGAUAGAUGGACAUGCACAAGUGCUUUUGCAACAACAUCCACCAUCUGUUACCCAAAUGAGAUUCAAAACUGUGAGUAUUCAGUGCAAAGUCGAGGGCAUACAUAACUUCCAGGCUGCCUACAUCCACUGGUAUCGACAACUGCCUGCUGGAGCUCCUGAAAGGCUUCUCUAUGUGACAGCAGUAUCACAAGUUUACUAUGAUUCGGAUUCCUAUAAGAACAAAUAUUUUUCUUAUAAAAGUGAGAAUAAAGUCUGCACUCUCUCAGUUUUUAAUGUACGUGAUGAUGAUGAAGGUACCUACUACUGUGCCUACUGGGUGUCUCACAGAGGGAACAGACUGCAGGCAGCCCUUACAGAAAGCCGGCUGCAGCUUCAGCAGCACACUUUCAUUCAAGGGCCAAAAACCACAGCUGCUUUCCUGCCCCCAUCUCUCAGCCUUCACAUCAUCCCCACAAGCUGAAAUGGGGAAGGAAAUCCAAGAGGAAAGCCAAGACACUUAUGUGGCAGUCACAUUGACAACACGCUGUUCAAUGGGCUGAUGAAAGUUGCUUCUUGGGCAGAUCCAGGGGUGUGAGCAAAGUAGCCGUAGGAAGGGCACAAAUGAACAACCCUACUUUCAGUGUCAGUCCUUAGCAAGAUUUAUGGCUAAGAUUUAAUGUGAUAUAGCAGAUAGAUGGAUAGACAGACAGACAUACAGACAGGCAGAUAGAUGAAUGCAGAAAAAGACAUUAUUAGAUUGUCUAUCUUAGGUCCCCUCUAUAGUGUUACUGAUUGAUUUUGUUUGACAAAGAAUUUACCGCACACAAAUAUACGCUCCAUUGUAGUGAACUGAAGACCUUCCAUUGGAUGAGCCAUGAGUCAUUUCCUCCUCUCAGCCACUGAGGAUUUCUCCAUCUUGAUGGCUUUAUAACACUCGUACCACGACUUCAGUUCAACAGUUCGUUCAUGCAGACAACAUGCU